rnacentral:misc_RNA from 1 species
ACAAACUUGGUCAUUUAGAGGAAGUAAAAGUCGUAACAAGGUCUCCGUUGGUGAACCAGCGGAGGGAUCAUUACCGAGUUUCCAACUCACAACCCAUCGUGAACGCUACCGACGUUGCUUCGGCGGUCCGGGCACCGCCCCGCGCCGCCGAAGGACCCGAACGCUCUUGUUUUCCGCAGUGGUUAGCUCUGAGUACAACCUGAAAAUAAAAUCAAAACCUUCAACAACGGAUCUCUUGGCUCUGGCAUCGAUGAAGAACGCAGC